UCCGUGACAUAGCAACGAAAAUCCCCAAUCGUGUCCACAUAUCGGCGGCGCUGACCAUCACCUGCGCCGGGCGGGCGGCGCUGCGGCCACCAUCACCUGCGCCGGGUGGGCAGCGGGCGGCGCCGCGGCCGGCCAUCACCUGCGCCGGGCGGGCAGCCGGCGGCGCCGCGGCCAACCAUCACCUGCGCCGCGCGGGGAGAGUGUGGCGCCGUGGCCGUCCAUCACCUGCACCGAUCAGGCGGCGGGCAGCGGCCGGCGGCAGAGGGCAUCAUCUGCGGGGUACAGAGCGGGAAACGGACGGCGUCAUCUGCUGUUCUAAGUUCUGCAGUGAAAGAUGGACAGAAGCUGGAUAAAAGCUAGGAAAUUUUCCGAAGAAUACAUCAAUGGAGUGAAAGAGUUCAUGAAUUUCGUUCGUGAAACCUAUGCCGAGGAUGCUCAAAUUCUUUGCCCGUGCCGCAAAUGUCUCAAUCGUAAACACGGACCUCAAGGGAAAGUGGAGGAUCAUAUUCUUAUUUAUGGGAUGUUUAGCACAUAUGAUAGGUGGAUUCAUCAUGGAGAACCAUUAAAUGUUGAAGCUGAUGGAGAUGCACAACAUGUGGAUGGAGCUACUGAUAUUGUGGUAGAUGUUGCUGAAAAGGAUGUUCGUUUGGAGGAGGAGGAUCUAUAUGAAGAUGAUAGAAUUCAUGACAUGAUACAGGAUCUGUAUGGAUCGGAGGACACGAGUAGACAGCAGUCAAAGUUUGCAAAAGUGAUAGAAGAGGCAAAGUGCUCACUUUACGAAGGGUCUGAAACUUCAAGAUUUUCAUUUGUCGUGAAGUUACUCCACAUCAAGUCUUUCUAUCGGAUCUCCAAUGUUGCAUUUAAUGCAAUACCCGCGUUGUUGGCCAAGUCAUUCCCGAAGUGCUCUAUUCCUAAAUCUUAUGAUGAAGCACUGAAAUUUAUCCGUGCAUUGGGGCUAGGCUAUGAUUCAAUCCAUGUGUGCCCAAAUAAUUGUGUCCUUUUCAGAAAACAAUAUGCCAACCAUGACGAAUGUCCGGUAUGUGGUGCAUCGAGAUGGAAGGACUCAGAUGGGAAAAAACAGAUUCCGAUGAAAGUAUUGAGACAUUUCCCAUUGAUCCCGAGGUUUCAGCGGAUGUAUUGUUCGAAGAAGUCAUCAGAAGAGGUACAAUGGCACAAGCUGAAAAAGAAACCCGUGGAAAAUGAAAUAAGUCAUCCAGUUGACAGUGAAGCAUGGAAAGACUUUGAUAAAAAACAUAGAGAUUUUGCUGAAGAUGCACGGAACCAGAGAAUUGGCAUUGGUACAGAUGGGUUUAAUCCGUUUGGAAAAAUGAGUGCUUCCUAUAGCAUGUGGCCUGUAUUUGUGAUGCCUUAUAACCUGCCACCAUGGGCAUGUAUGGAUCAGUGCAACCUCAUGAUGGCCAUACUUAUACCCGGUCCAAAUUCUCCAGGGAAGGAUUUUGAUUUGUUCUUGGAGCCUCUAGUCGAAGAGUUGCUUGAGCUUUGGAAGGGUGUAAGUACCUAUGAUGCCUUAAGUGAAAAAAAAAUUAAUCUACGUGCAGCAGUCCUAUGGUGCAUCCAUGAUUAUCCAGGAUUGAGCACUCUGUCAGGAAGAGUCAUGAGUGGCUACUAUGCGUGUCUGCACUGUGACAAAGAUCCCUGCUCACAGAGGAUAAGGAACAAGAUAUGUUAUAUUGGACAUCGUCGUUUUCUUCCUCGAGCGCAUCGCUGGCGAAGAAGCAAAGCUUUCAAUGGUAAGAGUGAAAACCGUGACAAGCCAGAGGAAUUCAGUACAGAAGAGCUGCUGCUGGAAUUGAAGAAUGUCAAAGAUGUAAGACCAGGAAACCAUCCUCAAAACAAGAAAAGAAAGUGUAAAGAUGCUGGUCAAUGCUGGAAACGGAAGGUUUGUUUGUGGGACCUGCCAUACUGGAUAGAUUUGAAACUGAGGCAUAAUCUUGAUGUAAUGCACAUCGAGAAAAACAUAUGUGACAACCUACUUGGGACAUUUCUAAACAUUGAUGGUAAGAUAAAGGAUACGGCUAAUGCUAGGCUUGAUUUGGAAGACAUGGGCAUAAGACCAGAUUUACACCUCGACCGUGAUGAGGAUGGAAAUCUAGUUUGUUUGCCAGAAGCAUGGUACACAAUGACAAAAGAACAGAAGCUUGCAUUCUGUGAAUUUAUAAGACAAGUUAGAUUUCCAGAUGGGUAUGCUGCUAACUUAGCAAAAUGUGUUAGUCCCGAUGGAUGCAAGCUUCAAUCACAGAAAACACAUGAUUGCUAUGUCCUCCUCCAAAGACUUAUACAAGUUGGUAUUCGUGGAAUCAUGGAUAAGGAGAUAUAUGAAGCUGUCGCUGAUUUGGGAAAAAAAUAGAGAGCUGUGUUGCAAAACUUUGAAGCUAGAUGUUUUAGAAAGACUUAAGGAAGAAAUCCUAGUUAUUCUUUGCAAACUCGAGAAAAUUUUUCCUCCAGCUUUCUUUGAUGUCAUGGUGCAUCUAGCCGUUCAUUUACCGGAUGAGGCAAUUCUUAGAGGCCCGGUGCAGUACGGAUGGAUGUAUCCAAUUGAGAGAAGGCUACUUACUUGUAAGCGUUAUGUGAGGGACAUGGCCAGACCUGAAGGAUCGAUUGUAGAAGAAUAGGCGCCGCCAUCUCAAGAAGAAGCAUUUUGACAAUGUACCGGCCAAUCUAGUGAGUGUCAAAUCUCCUAAUAAGAAUGUGAUAGAUGCGGAGUGGCAAAGGCUGGUCAAGAUGUGGUCUACCCCAAGGCACAAGGAAACCUGUCAGUCGAACAAGGAGAACCGUUCCAAAGUUAAGUUCCAUCAGAAAACUGGUUCUCGCCCGUACAUUUCCCAUGUGCAUGCUUUGAAAGAGGCUUGUAAGGGUGAAGAGUUCACUGCGUUUGAUCUAUUCAAGGAGUGCCACAAUGGCAGGAAGACUGGUUUCUCUGAGCUAGUUAAGAAGGUGAUAGCUGACAUGGAAAAAGCUAUGGAACAAGGGGUACCAGAAGGUGGAGAACCAAAGAAUGUUGCUGCUGUUGUUGCUGACAUUCUCACUAAAGAAUGUCCCUCCAGCACAUUCCUUCAAAAUGUUGGCUUUGAGUUGAGCUCCAAGAAGAAGUUCAACAGAUCUGCAGCUGCUUUGGAUGCUCAUGUACAAGAACUAGAGUACAGGCUUGAGAAGGAGAGGCGAGCCGCUGAGUUGAUGCGAGAGGAGCUUGUUGAGGUCAAGAAGAAAUCAGAGGAGACUGAAGCUGCAUGCGCCGCAGAGUAUCAGUUGUUACUGCAAAGAGUUGAGGCCACCGAUGCUAGGGCUGCAGCAAGUGAUGCUAGAUUUGUGCGUCUCAUGGAUCUGUUCGAAGGUAAAAUAGUUUAGUAUGACGUGGUUGAUGUUGGCUUUGGGACUUUUGAUGUUGAGUUGUUGGGACCUGGGGUUGAUGAGUUUCUUUGACUGGACAUGUGAACCACAAUAUAGACCAGAGAUUGGUUGUGGUUUGAUGAGGUUGUGUUUUGGUUGGUGCAUCUUAUGAACAUGGUGUACUGAUACUAAGCUACUGGCUAUGUUAUUUUGGUUGGUGCAUCUUAUGAACUUGUGGUGUAAUGAUACUGUUGGGCCUAAGUUAAUGAAAUCUUGGAGAAUUGUA